AGUGAACGCUGGCGGUAGGCCUAACACAUGCAAGUCGAACGGCAGCACAGUAAGAGCUUGCUCUUACGGGUGGCGAGUGGCGGACGGGUGAGGAAUACAUCGGAAUCUACUUUUUCGUGGGGGAUAACGUAGGGAAACUUACGCUAAUACCGCAUACGACCUACGGGUGAAAGCAGGGGAUCCUCGGACCUUGCGCGAUUGAAUGAGCCGAUGUCGGAUUAGCUAGUUGGCGGGGUAAAGGCCCACCAAGGCGACGAUCCGUAGCUGGUCUGAGAGGAUGAUCAGCCACACUGGAACUGAGACACGGUCCAGACUCCUACGGGAGGCAGCAGUGGGGAAUAUUGGACAAUGGGCGCAAGCCUGAUCCAGCCAUACCGCGUGGGUGAAGAAGGCCUUCGGGUUGUAAAGCCCUUUUGUUGGGAAAGAAAAGCAGCAGGUUAAUACCCCGCCGUUCUGACGGUACCCAAAGAAUAAGCACCGGCUAACUUCGUG
rnacentral:rRNA from 1 species